CAAGAAAAUUUUAAAAUUCUUCCAGUACUUUGAAUCAGAGAGAGAAAUAUUAUAAUCAGACAUUCUAAACUAAAGUUUAAUAAACAAUUUCCUUCAAAAAAAAAAAGAAUUCCUUCGUCCAGUUUCUAUCAAUUAUCAAAUCACAAUCCUUUCCCGAAAGAUCUUCGGCGGUGGCAGUUGGGGGAUAUAGAGUGCUGUGAUGGGGGCGCUGCUGUCAAAGAUGUGGUUCAUGUUGUUCCCCGCGACGGAGUACAAGAUCGUGGUGGUGGGUCUGGAUAACGCCGGCAAAACGACGACCCUUUACAAGCUGCAUUUGGGGGAGGUGGUCACCACGCACCCUACUGUUGGUAGCAACGUUGAGGAGCUUGUCUAUAAGAACAUUAGAUUCGAGGUCUGGGAUCUUGGUGGACAAGAUAGGCUCCGGACAUCAUGGGCAACAUAUUAUCGCGGGACUCAUGCUGUUAUCGUAGUGAUAGACAGUACUGACAGAGCGAGGAUCUCUAUUAUGAAGGAUGAAAUAUUUAAGCUGCUUCCACAUGAGGAUUUACAGAGUGCGGUCGUGCUCAUCUUUGCAAACAAACAGGAUCUCAAGGACGCCAUGACACCUGCCGAAAUAACCGAUGCACUUUCGCUUCACAGUAUCAAGAACCAUGAUUGGCAUAUUCAAGCUUGCUCCGCGCUCACUGGUGAAGGUCUCUAUGAUGGAUUGGGGUGGAUUGCUCAGAGAGUAACUGGGAAAGCACCAAGCUAGAAGAAUCAACAGACUCACAUCAGAAACGUCCAUUUCCAUGUUCCAAACUCAGGUUGCUGUGUUUGCUGAUUAAACGUUUGAGGCCAGGAGCAUACUUCUGAAUGAUUUAGAAGUGUUAUUUUGAAGGGCACAUAUGAAUCUGAAGGUCUUUGUAAUAGGGUGGUUUUGGGAGCUGCAGCCCACUGUAUAGUUCUACUUAUUUCUAGCUUUUACAAUCUGGUGAGCGGCAUGAUCAAUUCUUUUCCCAUCUGAGUAGAUUAUAAACCGUCGGAUCAUGCUUAAUGAUGUCAAUAUUUUAUUUUAUAAUAUUUUUACAUUUUAUUUAAUAUUCAGCAUCUUUGGGUGCCUACUCAAGUGUAUGGUUUUGGAAUGCAUUUGGGAUAAUGAUGGACAAACGAAAACAGCAGUUACUGUACAAUAAAAGAACAAUGUAGAUGUAAUGAAAGCUACCACUCAAUCACAUAGAAAUUUAUAAAUGAAUUGGGUUGAAAAUUCCAUCAGUUUUUUCAACAUCAUACAUUCCUUAAUAUCUGUUACUGUGAAUGCCACUCCAACAUCCAGAGUCUGAUGAAUCUGCUGAAGUGUGACAACGAGGUUGUUUCUGAAAGAACGAUCAUCUUGUGUUCAUAGAAUACACUGUGUAUUGUGGUCACCUGUUGUAAGCGAAUUUAUCUGCAAAGUCCACUUGAAAAA